rnacentral:rRNA from 1 species
UACGGAGGGUGCGAGCGUUGUCCGGAAUCAUUGGGCGUAAAGGGCGCGUAGGUGGCCCGGUCAGUUCGUGGUGAAAGCGCGGGGCUCAACCCUGCGUCGGCCAUGAAUACUGCCGCGGCUGGAGCACUGUAGAGGCAGGCGGAAUUCCCGGUGUAGCGGUGAAAUGCGCAGAUAUCGGGAGGAACACCUAUGGCGAAGGCAGCUUGCUGGGACGUAACUGACGCUGAGACGCGAAAGCGUGGGGAGCAAACAGG